ensembl:lncRNA KHDC1-AS1 KHDC1 antisense RNA 1
GCCAGUGGCAAUGACCCAGACCCGGACGACCCCCAUUGCUGAGCCAGCGGAGCUGCUUGGAGGCAGAGGUUGCAGUGAGCUGAGAUUUUGCGACUACACUCCAACCUGGGCAACAGAGCGGGACUCCAUUCCAAAAAAAUAAGAAAAACAGAAAAAUAAUAAUUACAUCUGCAAAGACCUUAUUUCCAGUGAAUUGGAUUUCCCUGUGCAGCAGGCAAGAAGAAUCUGUUGGAUGAUUACAACAUUGCUGGAUUGAUAGCAGCCUCACCUGCCAGGCUCAAACUCCAGGGUCCACGAGGCUGGUGUCAGACCUAUUGGGAGACCCUCUGCGUUAGUGAGAAAAACGGCAAGAAAUGGGAGCACGCGGAAACCUCCAAGACUAGAGCCACCAGAUGCCACCGACAGCACGCAGCUGGACCAGCACGGGGGAGGGCCUUCGUGGGUCGAGAGCUCGCUCGGGAGAUAGUUGGUGCUUUUCUUUCAGGAGAAGAAUCCCUGGCGGAGUCUGACCGUUCUCUGGCGCACA